UAACCUCAGCUGGAGCACGGUGAUUU
rnacentral:piRNA from 1 species